GACGUAGGGCGCGAGCGUUGUCCGGAUUUAUUGGGCGUAAAGAGCUCGUAGGCGGUCUGUCGCGUCUGCUGUGAAAUCUCAGGGCUUAACCCUGAGCUUGCAGUGGGUACGGGCAGACUAGAGUGCGGUAGGGGAGACUGGAAUUCCUGGUGUAGCGGUGAAAUGCGCAGAUAUCAGGAGGAACACCGGUGGCGAAGGCGGGUCUCUGGGCCGUAACUGACGCUGAGGAGCGAAAGCAUGGGGAGCGAACAGG
rnacentral:rRNA from 1 species